rnacentral:snRNA from 1 species
UUGCUUCAGCAACACAUAUACUAAAAUUGGAAUGGUACACAGAAGAUUAGGGAGGCCCCUGUGCAAGGAUGACAUGCAAAUUUGUGAAGUGUCCCAUAUUUUA